rnacentral:rRNA from 1 species
UUUCCGGUUGAUCCCGCCGGACCUGACUGCUAUCGGAUUGAUACUAAGCCAUGCGAGUCUUUGUAGUAAUACAAGGCAGACGGCUCAGUAACACGUAGUCAACCUACCCUAUGGACGAGAAUAAUCUCGGGAAACUGAGCAUAAUUCUCGAUAGAUCAUAAUGCCUGGAAUGGUUUAUGGUUAAAAUGAUUCGUCGCCAUAGGAUGGGACUGCGGCCUAUCAGCUUGUUGGUGAGGUAAUGGCCCACCAAGGCGAUUACAGGUACGGGCUCUGAGAGGAGAAGCCCGGAGAUGGGUACUGAGACACGGACCCAGGCCCUAUGGGGCGCAGCAGGCGAGAAAACUUUGCAAUGUGCGAAAGCACGACAAGGUUAAUCCGAGUGAUUUCUGCUAAAGAAAUCUUUUACCAGUCAUAAAACCACUGGUGAAUAAGGGGUGGGCAAGUUCUGGUGUCAGCCGCCGCGGUAAAACCAGCACCUCAAGUGGUCAGGAUGAUUAUUGGGCCUAAAGCAUCCGUAGCCGGCUUUGUUAGUUUUCGGUUAAAUCCAUGUGCUCAACGCAUGGGCUGCCGAAAAUACUGCAAGGCUAGGGAGUGGGAGAGGUAGACGGUACUCAGUAGGAAGGGGUAAAAUCCUUUGAUCUAUUGAUGACCACCUGUGGCGAAGGCGGUCUACCAGAACACGUUCUUCGGUGAGGGAUGAAAGGUGGGGGAGCAAACCGGAUUAGAUACCCGGGUAGUCCCAGCUGUAAACGAUGCAGACUCGAUGAUGCAUUGGCAUAUAGCCAGUGCAGUGUCGCAGGGAAGCCGUUAAGUCUGCCGCCUGGGAAGUACGUACGCAAGUAUGAAACUUAAAGGAAUUGGCGGGGGAGCACCACAAGGGGUGAAGCCUGCGGUUCAAUUGGAGUCAACGCCGGGA